rnacentral:rRNA from 1 species
UUAGGAAUUUUGCGCAAUGGACGAAAGUCUGACGCAGCAACGCCGCGUGGGGGACGAAGGUCUUCGGAUCGUAAACCCCUUUUCUGGGGGAAGAUGAUGACGGUACCCCAGGAAUAAGCCCCGGCUAACUACGUGCCAGCAGCCGCGGUAAUACGUAGGGGGCGAGCGUUGUCCGGAUUUACUGGGCGUAAAGAGCGCGUAGGCGGUUCUUCAAGUCGUGCGUGAAAUACCCCGGCUCAACCGGGGGGAGCCGUGCGAUACUGGGGGACUCGAGGCCGGAAGAGGGAAGUGGAAUUCCCGGUGUAGUGGUGGAAUGCGUAGAUAUCGGGAGGAACACCAGUGGCGAAGGCGGCUUCCUGGUCCGGUCCUGACGCUGAGUGCGCGAAAGCGUGGGAGCGAACUGAAUUAGAUACUCAGGUAGUCCACGCCGUAAACGAUGAUAACUCGAUGUGUGCAAUACACCGUACGCGUCCAAGCGAAAGCAUUAAG